rnacentral:rRNA from 1 species
AUGUUGUUUAUUUGCAGUUUCCUGAUCGUAAUUGAUGAUGUAUGGUCUGCAACGAUGUUGGACAAUAUUAUAAAAGAACUUCCUAACCAUAACAAUAAUAAAGAGAACAGAAUAAUAGUUACCACACGAUUUCAUGUUUGUGCCACAAUGCGAAGAUGAGAAGCAGAUAUUCAUAAAGUUAAAGGUCUUGGAGAUGAAGAAUCCAAGAAGUUAUUUAAACAAGCUUUCCUCGAGUCCACAACAUCCAAGAUAGAAGAAGGUAGUGAAGAUGUUCCAUUUCCGGAUGAAGUCUCGAAGGUAUGUGGAGGACGACCAUUGGCCAUAGUUACCAUGGGUGGUCAUGUCGCCUGCAACCCAAACAUAAAUAAAGAGAAAUGGUCCGAUAUUAGAAGUUCUCAAUUCCCAUAAUCAGGGAAAGAUCAUGGUAAAGAUGGUGGGAAAGACAUCACCCAGGAGGAAGUGGGUAGGAUUGUUAACUAUUGCUACAAUGACAUGUCUGCUGAAAUCAAGACCUGCUAGUUGUACUUGAGCAUAUUUCCAAAGGGCCACAAAAUCAGCAGGAAACGACUGACUAGACGAUGGACUGCUGAAGGCUUCGUCUGUGAAAAGCAAGGUCUAAGUAUGGAGGAUGUCGCGGAAGCAUAUUUCAAUCACCUCAUAAGGAUGAAGAUAAUCCGAGUAGUUGAGCAUAGCAGCAAUGGAAAGGUUAAGAAAUUUGUACUUCAUUACAUGGUCCUUGAUCACAUUGUUGCUAAGGCAAGUGAAGAGAAUUUCAUCAUUGUGGUUGGUGGUAACUGGCUCAUGCCACCUCCUAGGAGCAAGGUCCGUCGACUGUCUCUCCAAGGCAGUGAUUCUAAACAUGCAAAGGAUCUAGAGAAUAUGAACCCAUCUCAUGUUCGUUCACUAGCCAUGUUUGGGAAUUUAAACAAUCAGUUACCUUCCCAUUCAUUCAAGUUUGGAAUUGUGCAGGUCUUAGAUCUUGAAGGUUGUACAUGUUUCAAGCACCACCAUACAAAAGAGAUGUGCAAAAUGCUUCUUUUGAAGUUUCUCAGCAUCUGGAGAACUGACACAAAAGAGCUUCCAAAAAAUAUUGACAUGCUUGUGAACCUGGAGACCUUGGAGAUAAGAGAGACAAAUGUUGUUGAUUUGCUUAAAACCAUAUGCCAGCUUGAACAGCUAGUUAACAUAAUCAGUGCGAAUAAAAAAAUACGGAUGGCAUUGAAGCUUCCAGAAGAGAUGAGUAAGAAAAAUAAAAUGAAGGCCUUGGGCCUACUGUCAGGUAUUGAGAUUGUUGGGGAAUCAGUGGACUUUCACCAUUUGACCGAGUUGAGGAAACUUGCCAUCUACAAGCUCAAAACAAUGGGUGGGGGUGCAAGUUUUGAAGAAUUAAGCUCCUCCAUCGAGUAUCUUGGUGGAUAUUCUCUACACACACUCAUAAUUGUUGAUGAAUCAUCUGAGUUCCUAAAAUCAUCGGAUGCUCUGUCUACGCCUCCAAAAUUUCUGACUGCCCUUGAGUUAUCUGAAAAGAUGGUUAAGCUCCCUGGUUGGAUAAAUCAACACAAUGCUCUCAGCAAGCUAGCCCUUUCGGUGAUAGCUCUUUGGAAAGACAACUUGGAGAACCUCAGCAAACUAGAGGCGUUGUUUUCUCUCACCUUUUCAUUUAGGGAAGAAAAGCUAGAUCCUGAAACAUUGACAACACUUGCUGAAAAUAAGUUGCACUCUGAUGGGGAGAUUAGAAUUCUAGAUGGAGGUUUUAAGAGUCUUAAGCUUCUUCGCUUCUCAGCUCCUCUCUUGCUUUUACUGAGCUUUUUAGUAAAUGCAAUGCCAGAACUAGAAAGGCUUGAGCUAAAUUUCAAAAUGCUGGAGGGAUUUUUUGGUGUAGAAAAUCUUGCCAAACUCAAAGUGGUCCACUUGACAUUAGAUGGCAAAGGCGGUGAAGAUAUUACCAAGUGGAUGCAUAAUGAGAUGAAGACUGCAGUGGAGAAGAACCCCGAGAAACCGAAGAUAGUCCUUGAUAUAACUGAUUGA